rnacentral:lncRNA from 1 species
CGAACAGGCUGCACUGAGAUUAGACAAACAGGAUAGCUUUCAAUAUCUUGAUCAAGACUUUGCUAAAAGCAAGCAUAUUUAUGCUGAGAAAAAAAAGCUGGGAUGUGUAAGUGCAAAUACCCUGAAAAAGAGUGUCCUGAGAAUGGUGUGCAUCAACCAAGCUGGGGAUAUUUUCAGAGUUUAAAACUAGUGUGAUUGCAUUAAGGUGCUGUUGGCAGUAUUGACACAUCCAAGUAAGAUAACAGAUGGCUGAGGUUGGCAGGACUCAGAGGUCCAUCCAGAGGUCCAUCCAGUCCCACCCCUCCCCAACAGGGUGCUCAGGACCAUGCACAGGCAGCUUUAGAAGAUCUCCAAGGAGGAGACUCCACAACCUCUGAGCAAUCUGUGUCAGUGUUGUUAUUCACAAAAAUGCUUUCUGCUGAUCAGACAGAACCUCCUGUGUUCCAGUUUGUCCCCAUUGCUCUUGUCCUGGCA